rnacentral:rRNA from 1 species
GUGAGGAAUAUUGGUCAAUGGGCGUAAGCCUGAACCAGCCAAGUCGCGUGAGGGAUGAAGGAUCUAUGGUUCGUAAACCUCUUUUAUAAGGGAAUAAAGUGCGGGACGUGUCCUGUUUUGUAUGUACCUUAUGAAUAAGGAUCGGCUAACUCCGUGCCAGCAGCCGCGGUUAUACGGAGGAUCCGAGCGUUAUCCGGAUUUAUUGGGUUUAAAGGGUGCGUAGGCGGCCUUUUAAGUCAGUGGGGAAAGUCUGUGGCUCAACCAUAGAAUUGCCGUUAAAUCUGGGGGGCUUGAGUAUGUUUGAGGCGGGCGGAAUGCGUGGUGUAGCGGUGAAAUGCAUAGAUUUCACGCAGAACCCCGAUUGCGAAGGCAGCCUGCCAAGCCAUGACUGACGCUGAUGCACGAAAGCGUGGGGAUCGAACAGG